UACGGAGGGUGCAAGCGUUAAUCGGAAUUACUGGGCGUAAAGCGCACGUAGGUGGUUUGUUAAGCUAGCUGUGAAAUCCCGGGGCUCAACCUCGGAAUUGCCUCCGAUACUGCCGUGCUUGAGGACUGGAGAGGAGAUUGGAAUUCACAGUGGAGCAGUGAAAUGCGUAGAUAUUGUGAGGAACACUAGUGGCGAAGGCGAAUCUCUGGACAGUUCCUGACGCUGAGGCACGAAGGCCAGGGGAGCAAACGGG
rnacentral:rRNA from 1 species